GUCACUCUUCCCCGUCCUAGUUCGGGUUUCCCUAGGAUUAGACUGUGAAACAAGGAUUUGAGCGUCAGUAGUUUAUUUGGGAGAUGUUCCUAGGAAACAUUGAAAUGGUUGUGAGGGGAUGUGAUGCCGGGAGCUGCUACAGCCAUCUCACAGCUGUGAUGGGAAGGUAGAGAGAAUUCAGAGAUGCAGACCCUGAAUUCUGACAUCACACUCUGAUGUUCAAAGAGCCUCUGGACUCCAAAAGCAAAGCCCUACCUCAGGACUUCCUGUUGUAUGAGAAAAAGAAACUCCUCUUUAUUAAACCACUGUUUGUUGGGCUAAAUGCA